GAUGAAGAACGUAGCGAAAUGCGAUACUUGGUGUGAAUUGCAGAAUCCCGUGAACCAUCGAGUCUUUGAACGCAAGUUGCGCCCGAAGCCACUAGGCCGAGGGCACGCCUGCCUGGGCGUCACGCGCCGUUGCCCCCCCAUCUACUCCUUCGGGAUUGCGGGGGGGCGGAUGAUGGCCUCCCGUGCGCCUAGCCGCGCGGUUGGCAUAAAUACCAAGUCCUCGGCGACGCACGCCACGACAAUCGGUGGUUGCGAAACCUCGGUUGCCCGUCGUGUGCGUUCGUCGCGCAUCGAGGGCUCGAAAAAAUGCUCGGCUCCGGCUGGGCUUUCAACGCGACCCCAGGUCAGGCGGGGUUACCCGCUGAAUUUAAGCAUAUCAAUAAGCGGAGGA
rnacentral:misc_RNA from 1 species